CCCCCUUCAGGGAGAGAGAGGAAGGCUCUCCUAAUGCCUGAUAGAGCUGCCCAAAAUGGCCCCUCUGUUCCUAGGAGUGCGACAGGU
rnacentral:snoRNA from 1 species